CGGUGCUGUCCUGUAAAAAAGUGUACCUAUAUCGGUCGGCAUUCCCAUUGGUACUGGUUCGGCGUCAGUGGUUUGUUUUGCGUAGUGUGUUGGUUAUUUGAAGACAUGCCAUUGGACUCUCUCACAAUUCAUAUGUGUUAACAGAAGAUUUGACACUAUGGACUUUGACCAAAGCGUUAUUAACGGACACGUUACGAUAGGUACAGAGAGGAAGCAUCUCCCGGCCCAGCCAGCACCUUAUACAAAAGCAGGUGACUCGCAAGUAUCAAGCAUCGGUGGUUCAGUGGUAGAAUGCUCGCCUGCCACGCGGGCGGCCCGGGUUCGAUUCCCGGCCGAUGCAAAAAAAUUUUGCUUUUAUUCGCUUAAGCUUCUUCUUCAAGAUGGUGUUGAUUCUCCUAGCAAUUUUGUGUACUGGAGCAUGUAUUGCAUAUACAACUGAAUGGAUUGGCACUUCUGAAAGUGAUGGGUUCUGAGAGAGUGUCAUAUGAAAAUAAGGCAAUCUCACUCAAACUACAAUCAUAAAGAUGGCAUAGUUUAUGUGCAAGGCCAUGAAAAACUUAUGUGACUGCAUGACAUCUUUAAGUUGGAGUCAAUAUGGAAUCUCGAGGAAUAUGGGAGCCCAGCUUUUAAGACUCAAGCAAAUGUAUGGCAACAACAACAGCAGCAGCAGUUAUAUGUAUGCACUAGUAAAUGUACAAAUAUUUCUAAAAUGGAUUAUCAGUAAAUAAAUUUAAGAGACU